rnacentral:rRNA from 1 species
UACAGGGGGUGCAAGCGUUGUUCGGAAUUAUUGGGCGUAAAGCGCGUGUAGGCGGACCGCUAAGUCUGGUGUGAAAUCCCUCGGCUCAACUGAGGAAGUGCAUUGGAUACUGGCGGCCUUGAGUCCUGGAGAGGGUAGCGGAAUUCCCAGUGUAGAGGCGAAAUUCGUAGAUAUUGGGAGGAACACCGGUGGCGAAGGCGGCUACCUGGACAGUGACUGACGCUGAGACGCGAAAGCAUGGGUAGCAAACAGG